rnacentral:rRNA from 1 species
CCUACGGGUCGCACCAGUGGGGAAUCUUGCACAAUGGGCGCAAGCCUGAUGCAGCGACGCCGCGUGGGGGACGAAUGCCUUCGGGUUGUAAACCCCUUUCGGCAGGGAAGAAGCGCAAGUGACGGUACCUGCAGAAGAAGCUCCGGCUAACUACGUGCCAGCAGCCGCGGUAAGACGUAGGGAGCGAGCGUUGUCCGGAUUCAUUGGGCGUAAAGCGCGCGUAGGCGGUUUGGCAAGUCGGAUGUGAAAUCCCGAGGCUCAACCUCGUGACUGCAUCCGAUACUGCCCGACUAGAGGUAGGUAGGGGAGAUCGGAAUUCCUGGUGUAGCGGUGAAAUGCACAGAUAUCAGGAGGAACACCGGUGGCGAAGGCGGAUCUCUGGGCCUUACCUGACGCUGAGGCGCGAAAGCUGGGGGAGCGAACAGGAUUAGAUACCCCUGUAGUC